rnacentral:rRNA from 1 species
CCUACGGGAGGCAGCAGUGAGGAAUAUUGGUCAAUGGACGAGAGUCUGAACCAGCCAAGUAGCGUGAGGGAUGACUGCCCUAUGGGUUGUAAACUUCUUUUAUAUGGGAAUAAAAUGUUCCACGUGUGGGAUUUUGUAUGUACCAUAUGAAUAAGGAUAGGCUAACUCCGUGCCAGCAGCCGCGGUAAUACGGAGGAUCCGAGCGUUAUCCGGAUUUAUUGGGUUUAAAGGGAGCGUAGGUGGAUUGUUAAGUCAGUUGUGAAAGUUUGCGGCUCAACCGUAAAAUUGCAGUUGAAACUGGCAGUCUUGAGUACAGUAGAGGUGGGCGGAAUUCGUGGUGUAGCGGUGAAAUGCUUAGAUAUCACGAAGAACUCCGAUUGCGAAGGCAGUUCACUGGACUGCAACUGACACUGAGGCUCGAAAGUGUGGGUAUCAAACAGGAUUAGAUACCCGAGUAGUC